rnacentral:rRNA from 1 species
UACGGAGGGAGCUAGCGUUGUUCGGAAUUACUGGGCGUAAAGCGCACGUAGGCGGCUUUUUAAGUCAGGGGUGAAAUCCCGGGGCUCAACCCCGGAACUGCCCUUGAAACUGGAGAGCUAGAAUCUUGGAGAGGCGAGUGGAAUUCCGAGUGUAGAGGUGAAAUUCGUAGAUAUUCGGAAGAACACCAGUGGGCGAAGGCGACUCGCUGGACAAGUAUUGACGCUGAGGUGCGAAAGCGUGGGGAGCGAAACGGAU